rnacentral:rRNA from 1 species
AGAUUAAGUUAUUAAGGGCGCACGGUGGAUGCCUUGGCACUAGAAGCCGAUGAAGGACGUUACUAACGACGAUAUGCUUUGGGGAGCUGUAAGUAAGCUUUGAUCCAGAGAUUUCCGAAUGGGGAAACCCAGCAUGAGUUAUGUCAUGUUAUCGAUAUGUGAAUACAUAGCAUAUCAGAAGGCACACCCGGAGAACUGAAACAUCUUAGUACCCGGAGGAAGAGAAAGAAAAUUCGAUUCCCUUAGUAGCGGCGAGCGAAACGGGAAGAGCCCAAACCAACAAGCUUGCUUGUUGGGGUUGUAGGACACUCUAUACGGAGUUACAAAGGACGACAUUAGACGAAUCAUCUGGAAAGAUGAAUCAAAGAAGGUAAUAAUCCUGUAGUCGAAAAUGUUGUCUCUCUUGAGUGGAUCCUGAGUACGACGGAGCACGUGAAAUUCCGUCGGAAUCUGGGAGGACCAUCUCCUAAGGCUAAAUACUCUCUAGUGACCGAUAGUGAACCAGUACCGUGAGGGAAAGGUGAAAAGCACCCCGGAAGGGGAGUGAAAUAGAACCUGAAACCGUGUGCUUACAAGUAGUCAGAGCCCGUUAAUGGGUGAUGGCGUGCCUUUUGUAGAAUGAACCGGCGAGUUACGAUUUGAUGCAAGGUUAAGCAGUAAAUGUGGAGCCGUAGCGAAAGCGAGUCUGAAUAGGGCGUUUAGUAUUUGGUCGUAGACCCGAAACCAGGUGAUCUACCCUUGGUCAGGUUGAAGUUCAGGUAACACUGAAUGGAGGACCGAACCGACUUACGUUGAAAAGUGAGCGGAUGAACUGAGGGUAGCGGAGAAAUUCCAAUCGAACCUGGAGAUAGCUGGUUCUCUCCGAAAUAGCUUUAGGGCUAGCCUCAAGUGAUGAUUAUUGGAGGUAGAGCACUGUUUGGACGAGGGGCCCCUCUCGGGUUACCGAAUUCAGACAAACUCCGAAUGCCAAUUAAUUUAACUUGGGAGUCAGAACAUGGGUGAUAAGGUCCGUGUUCGAAAGGGAAACAGCCCAGACCACCAGCUAAGGUCCCAAAAUAUAUGUUAAGUGGAAAAGGAUGUGGCGUUGCCCAGACAACUAGGAUGUUGGCUUAGAAGCAGCCAUCAUUUAAAGAGUGCGUAAUAGCUCACUAGUCGAGUGACACUGCGCCGAAAAUGUACCGGGGCUAAACAUAUUACCGAAGCUGUGGAUUGUCCUUUGGACAAUGGUAGGAGAGCGUUCUAAGGGCGUUGAAGCAUGAUCGUAAGAACAUNNNNNNNNNNNNNNNNNNNNNNNNNNNNNNNNNNNNNNNNNNNNNNNNNNNNNNNNNNNNNNNNNNNNNNNNNNNNNNNNNNNNNNNNCGUAAGAACAUGUGGAGCGCUUAGAAGUGAGAAUGCCGGUGUGAGUAGCGAAAGACGGGUGAGAAUCCCGUCCACCGAUUGACUAAGGUUUCCAGAGGAAGGCUCGUCCGCUCUGGGUUAGUCGGGUCCUAAGCUGAGGCCGACAGGCGUAGGCGAUGGAUAACAGGUUGAUAUUCCUGUACCACCUAUAAUCGUUUUAAUCGAUGGGGGGACGCAGUAGGAUAGGCGAAGCGUGCGAUUGGAUUGCACGUCUAAGCAGUAAGGCUGAGUAUUAGGCAAAUCCGGUACUCGUUAAGGCUGAGCUGUGAUGGGGAGAAGACAUUGUGUCUUCGAGUCGUUGAUUUCACACUGCCGAGAAAAGCCUCUAGAUAGAAAAUAGGUGCCCGUACCGCAAACCGACACAGGUAGUCAAGAUGAGAAUUCUAAGGUGAGCGAGCGAACUCUCGUUAAGGAACUCGGCAAAAUGACCCCGUAACUUCGGGAGAAGGGGUGCUCUUUAGGGUUAACGCCCAGAAGAGCCGCAGUGAAUAGGCCCAAGCGACUGUUUAUCAAAAACACAGGUCUCUGCUAAACCGUAAGGUGAUGUAUAGGGGCUGACGCCUGCCCGGUGCUGGAAGGUUAAGAGGAGUGGUUAGCUUCUGCGAAGCUACGAAUCGAAGCCCCAGUAAACGGCGGCCGUAACUAUAACGGUCCUAAGGUAGCGAAAUUCCUUGUCGGGUAAGUUCCGACCCGCACGAAAGGCGUAACGAUUUGGGCACUGUCUCAACGAGAGACUCGGUGAAAUCAUAGUACCUGUGAAGAUGCAGGUUACCCGCGACAGGACGGAAAGACCCCGUGGAGCUUUACUGUAGCCUGAUAUUGAAAUUCGGCACAGCUUGUACAGGAUAGGUAGGAGCCUUUGAAACGUGAGCGCUAGCUUACGUGGAGGCGCUGGUGGGAUACUACCCUAGCUGUGUUGGCUUUCUAACCCGCACCACUUAUCGUGGUGGGAGACAGUGUCAGGCGGGCAGUUUGACUGGGGCGGUCGCCUCCUAAAAGGUAACGGAGGCGCUCAAAGGUUCCCUCAGAAUGGUUGGAAAUCAUUCAUAGAGUGUAAAGGCAUAAGGGAGCUUGACUGCGAGACCUACAAGUCGAGCAGGGUCGAAAGACGGACUUAGUGAUCCGGUGGUUCCGCAUGGAAGGGCCAUCGCUCAACGGAUAAAAGCUACCCCGGGGAUAACAGGCUUAUCUCCCCCAAGAGUUCACAUCGACGGGGAGGUUUGGCACCUCGAUGUCGGCUCAUCGCAUCCUGGGGCUGUAGUCGGUCCCAAGGGUUGGGCUGUUCGCCCAUUAAAGCGGUACGCGAGCUGGGUUCAGAACGUCGUGAGACAGUUCGGUCCCUAUCCGUCGUGGGCGUAGGAAAUUUGAGAGGAGCUGUCCUUAGUACGAGAGGACCGGGAUGGACAUACCUCUGGUGUACCAGUUGUCGUGCCAACGGCAUAGCUGGGUAGCUAUGUGUGGACGGGAUAAGUGCUGAAAGCAUCUAAGCAUGAAGCCCCCCUCAAGAUGAGAUUUCCCAACUUCGGUUAUAAGAUCCCUCAAAGAUGAUGAGGUUAAUAGGUUCGAGGUGGAAGCAUGGUGACAUGUGGAGCUGACGAAUACUAAUCGAUCGAAGACUUAAUCAAAA